UCCCCUGUAGCUCAAUUGGUAGAGCAUGGUGCUUGCCACACCAGGGUUGUGGGUUCGAUUCCCACGGGGGAC
rfam:Salmo salar isolate Sally breed double haploid chromosome ssa06, whole genome shotgun sequence.